UACGUAGGGGGCAAGCGUUGUUCGGAAUGACUGGGCGUAAAGGGUGCGUAGGCGGUGUAGCAAGUUAGAAGUGAAAUACCUAGAGCUUAACUCAGGUGCUGCUUCUAAAACUGCUAUACUUGAGUGCAGUAGAGGAAAGUGGAAUUCCUAGUGUAGCGGUGGAAUGCGUAGAUAUUAGGAGGAACAUCAGUGGCGAAGGCGGAUUGCUGGACAGUAACUGACGCUGAGGCGCGAAAGCGUGGGGAGCAAACAGG
rnacentral:rRNA from 1 species